rnacentral:rRNA from 1 species
CCAACUACGUGCCAGCAGCCGCGGUAACACGUAGGGGGCGAGCGUUGUCCGGAUUUAUUGGGCGUAAAGAGCUCGUAGGCGGCUCGGUAAGUCGGGUGUGAAAACUCAGGGCUCAACCCUGAGACGCCACUCGAUACUGCUGUGGCUAGAGUCCGGUAGGGGAGCGUGGAAUUCCUGGUGUAGCGGUGAAAUGCGCAGAUAUCAGGAGGAACACCAGCGGCGAAGGCGGCGCUCUGGGCCGGAACUGACGCUGAGGAGCGAAAGCGUGGGUAGCAAACAGGAUUAGAUACCCGUGUAGUC